GAUGAACGCUGGCGGCGUGCCUAAUACAUGCAAGUCGAGCGAACGGACGAGAAGCUUGCUUCUCUGAUGUUAGCGGCGGACGGGUGAGUAACACGUGGAUAACCUACCUAUAAGACUGGGAUAACUUCGGGAAACCGGAGCUAAUACCGGAUAAUAUUUUGAACCGCAUGGUUCAAAAGUGAAAGACGGUCUUGCUGUCACUUAUAGAUGGAUCCGCGCUGCAUUAGCUAGUUGGUAAGGUAACGGCUUACCAAGGCAACGAUGCAUAGCCGACCUGACAGGGUGAUCGGCCACACUGGAACUUAGACACGGUCCAGACUCCUACGGUAGGCAGCAGUAGGGAAUCUUCCGCAAUGGACGAAAGCCUUACGGAGCAACGCCGCGUGAGUGAUGAAGGUCUUCCGAUCGUAAAACUCUGUUAUUAUGGAAGAACAUAUGUGUAAGUAACUGUGCACAUCUUGACGGUACCUAAUCAGAAAGCCACGGCUAACUACGUG
rnacentral:rRNA from 1 species